GCUUACGGUCAAACAGUCUAACCCCUGAGAAUACACGCCCGAUUCGUCUGAUCUCGGAAGCUAAGCAGGGGUUUGGUCCUGGUUAGUACUUGGAUGUCAGACACUGGGAAUACCAGGUGCUAGUAGCU
rnacentral:rRNA from 1 species